rnacentral:tRNA from 1 species
UAGCCUAGUGGUUAAGGCUAUGGAUUGCCAAUUCGGAGACGGCGGGUUCGAUUCCCGC